rnacentral:lncRNA from 1 species
AUAAAUAGUAAUUUGGAACCAAAACUCAGGACGUCCCAGGAGAGGCUAGAUUAGGAAUUCUUUGAUUUGGGAUCACGAAAAUGAAGUAUCCAUAUUUUAACAGAAUGAUUAGUGGCAGAGGAAUCAUCUAAGAAAACUGAGAAGACUCUGCCAGAGUGAUGGGAAGAAAACUAGAUGAGAAAGCACCAUUCUGGAAGACAUGCUCCCAUGAACCAUGGAGAGAAGAGGAGAGGGAAGAAGUUAUUUGUGAUGUCAUUUGCCUGUGUCAUGGCCUGCCUUCCCUAGAUAUUGUCCUAAUGUGAGCAUCACACCUAAGGUACUGAAGUAGAGUUCUGGCUGUUCCUUACGGACAUCUCUGGUGGUAAGUAAAUACAUAGAGAUUGCUAGUGCCUUUAACAGAACAAUACAUUGUAAGCACAGUUAUCUCAUUUUUAAACAAACUCAUUUAAUAAAUACCUUUGCUUUUAUUA